UGGGGAAUAUUGGACAAUGGGCGCAAGCCUGAUCCAGCAAUGCCGCGUGAGUGAAGAAGGCCUUAGGGUUGUAAAGCUCUUUCGCCCGCGAAGAUAAUGACGGUAGCGGGAGAAGAAGCCCCGGCUAACUCCGUGCCAGCAGCCGCGGAAAUACGGAGGGGGCUAGCGUUGUUCGGAAUUACUGGGCGUAAAGCGUACGUAGGCGGAUGCGCAAGUUGGGGGUGAAAUCCCGGGGCUUAACCUCGGAAUUGCCCUCAAAACUGCACGUCUGGAGACCGAGAGAGGUAAGGGGAAUUCCUAGUGUAGAGGUGAAAUUCGUAGAUAUUAGGAAGAACACCAGUGGCGAAGGCGCCUUACUGGCUCGGUACUGACGCUGAGGUACGAAAGCGUGGGGAGCAAACA
rnacentral:rRNA from 1 species